rnacentral:rRNA from 1 species
CCUACGGGGGGCAGCAGUGGGGAAUAUUGGACAAUGGGCGAAAGCCUGAUCCAGCCAUGCCGCGUGUGUGAAGAAGGCCUUCGGGUUGUAAAGCACUUUCAGUGGGGAAGAAAGCCUUGGGGCUAAUACCCUCGAGGAAGGACAUCACCCACAGAAGAAGCACCGGCUAACUCCGUGCCAGCAGCCGCGGUAAUACGGAGGGUGCGAGCGUUAAUCGGAAUUACUGGGCGUAAAGCGCGCGUAGGCGGUCUGAUAAGCCGGUUGUGAAAGCCCCGGGCUCAACCUGGGAACGGCAUCCAGAACUGUCAGGCUAGAGUGCAGGAGAGGAAGGUAGAAUUCCCGGUGUAGCGGUGAAAUGCGUAGAGAUCGGGAGGAAUACCAGUGGCGAAGGCGGCCUUCUGGACUGACACUGUCGCUGAGGUGCGAAAGCGUGGGUAGCAAACAGGAUUAGAUACCCGGGUAGUC